UUCUGGUUGAUCCUGCCGGACCUGACUGCUAUCGGAUUGAUACUAAGCCAUGCGAGUCUUUGUAGUAAUACAAGGCAUACGGCUCAGUAACGCGUAGUCAACCUACCCUAUGGACAAGAAUAAUCUCGGGAAACUGAGCAUAAUUCUUGAUAGAUCAUAAUGCCUGGAAUGGUAUAUGGUUAAAAUGAUUCGUCGCCAUAGGAUGGGACUGCGGCCUAUCAGCUUGUUGGUGAGGUAAUGGCCCACCAAGGCGAUAACAGGUACGGGCUCUGAGAGGAGAAGCCCGGAGAUGGGUACUGAGACAAGGACCCAGGCCCUAUGGGGCGCAGCAGGCGAGAAAACUUUGCAAUGUGCGAAAGCACGACAAGGUUUGUCCGAGUGAUUUCUGCUAAAGAGAUCUUUUGCUAGUUAUAAAACCACUAGUGAAUAAGGGGUGGGCAAGUUCUGGUGUCAGCCGCCGCGGUAAAACCAGCACCUCAAGUGGUCAGGAUGAUUAUUGGGCCUAAAGCAUCCGUAGCCGGCUCUGUAAGUUUUCGGUUAAAUCUAUGCGCUCAACGUAUGGGCUGCCGAAAAUACUGUAGAGAUAGGGAGUGGGAGAGGUAGACGGUACUCGGUAGGAAGGGGUAAAAUCCUUUGAUCUAUCGAUGACCACCUGUGGCGAAGGCGGUCUACCAGAACACGUUCGACGGUGAGGGAUGAAAGCUGGGGGAGCAAACCGGAUUAGAUACCCGGGUAGUCCCAGCUGUAAACGAUGCAGACUCGAUGAUGCAUUGGCAUAUAGCCAGUGCAGUGUCGCAGGGAAGCCGUUAAGUCUGCCGCCUGGGAAGUACGUACGCAAGUACGAAACUUAAAGGAAUUGGCGGGGAGCACCACAAGGGGUGAAGCCUGCGGUUCAAUUGGACUCAACGCCGGGA
rnacentral:rRNA from 1 species